AUAAGAAUCUAAAUUGAUGAGGAAUAUCUUGCAUUCAGUGUAUUUAGAUACAGUUUUUUGAAUUUUCUGAAGUGAUGUGAUCUGCUUUUAAUAAAUUCAAUUUUAGGUAUGUAACAAAUGGAAAUGAAAUGCUCUUUUUAAUCUGGAUUCUCAAAUUCUUCUAAAGGGUGUAUUAUUUUGAUGAAGCCCCAACUCAGUGGAUUUUAUUCGUCUGCUGCUUUCUAGCGUUCUGGCAAAGCUGGCUCCAUCUACAAUAUGAUGUCUAAGAACAAAAUUGGGGUGAAAAGUGGGUCCUAAAUUGUUCACAUACUUAAGGUGCCGAUUCUUGGUCCGUCUCUCCUUGGACUAAGCCUUAGGGUUGGUUGCUACAGUCAUAUAUGAGUUAAUCUAUCAACUUUACAACAAAGUACAAAUAGGAUUCCUUCCAUCAAAACCAUUGAUGAACAUAAAACUUCGGAGAAUCUUUGUCCCAAGGUUCAGCUAUAUGGAACAGAGUUGGUAUUUACAGGAAAGUAAUGAGAUUGCCCUGUGUUGGUGUGGAAAUGAUUCGCUUCUGAACACAGUGAUUCAUUCCUGUGCAAAGCCUGGAGGAGCUCUUUAGUCCCACAAGAGAGGGGCCCUUGCUUAGAGGGGCCCAUUCUUAACCUCUUCCCACUCUGUCUCAGUAGCCAGGAACCUAGAAUUCCCUGCCCAGCUGUUCUGCACCCACUUUUAGGGUGUGUGCACCUCUUCUAGGGGUAUACACUCCUGAAAGCAGGCAGCAUCAUGAGUGCACACCCUUGAACACAAGAGGUGGCAAAAAGUGAUGUGUGUAGAUAAGUUAGUGAUUUGGGCCUGGAAGUAUAUGCUGGGAAAUUCACAGGCAUGUGAGAAGAGGCUCCUUGCAGUGAAAACCAGAGCUCAAGAAUGGAAAAGAAGGGACUAAUGGGUGGAUGAGAGAUAAAGCAGGGCUCCCUCAGGGCUGGGAUCCAGUGCAGAACUCUGAGCAAUCUAAAGGCUCUGAAAUUAUACCUGGUUUCCAGUUGUUAUCAAGAACUUGUGUCAAGGCAGCAGAGUGGAACAUAGCAUUAUUUAACAGUAUAUUUGCUUGAUGUAUAAUUAAUAUUUAGACACAUGGCAUAUGAGCUUCCAUUGGUCCUUUUGUGCUGGCCCCUCCCUGGUUGGUCAGCCUGGAGAUGAACAUUGCAUAAGGUGCCCUUGAGUCAAAUCACUAAGUUGGUACAAAUUCACCCAGGUACAGAUCGGAAGAAGGCAUGUGGGCACAGUUCAACAGUUCUUAUAGUCAGUGCUCCACCUCACUUUUGCUCCAGCCUGUAGCCUUACUGUAUACAAGAAGGUCGGAUGGACUAGGGGCAGCUGUGAGAAAACAUAUCAUCUUCACACUCCACAGGCAAUUAUCCAGUGUUACUAGAUGUAAAGACCCCCGUACUCAGAGAUAGCAUGCCCUGUGCUCUGUGGGAGAUGGGUUGUUGCACUUCACCUGUUGUUAAAUGCUAAAUAAAAUACUUAUUUAACAGUUUCUCUGAUCACAGGAUUGUACAGAAUAUGUGAGAACUUUGAACUACAUGUUCUGUCUAUUUGUCAUGUGUUAGAGUCUAUCCGUGUAUGAUCUGGUGCAAUUUAAAGCUUCAGCUUCAGACGUCUGAACUAGAAUUCCUUUCCCACCACUUUUGUUCCCAUUAUUUAUCCAUAAGGAUGACAAUGGCGGCAGCAACUAAGCUACAUCUUUAAAAAAUCUGAAUAACUGGAUAAAACUCUGUUUUUUUUUUUUUUUAAGAAAACCUGACUAGACAGCCUUAAUGAUAUAGAGGAAUGUAGAGGAAUGGAUAGAUAGGGAGCACUCCUAGAGCUUGGAUCCAAAUAUCUAGUUGUGAGCAAUUCUUUUUUUUUCCCUCAGGAAAUCAGGACUACAUUCUCAUCAAUUUUCUAAUAAAUAUCCAGUGUCCAUUUGGCACAAAUAUUCUGACAGUUCUGACCAUUUCCAUGUAAAAGAAUUUUUCACUUUAUAUUUUCACUUUUUUACACCAAAAGUAGUUUUACCUUUUAGAUACCUAAAAUAGUUGCCAAUAAAUUCCCAGCAGAAACUGCACAUAAACAUAAUGUGAUGUCAGAAAGAUUGAGAAUGCCAACUAUUAUAUUUUGAAUUUUCACCAACAAUCUUGGAAACAUGGAGAAUUUUCACUCUUUACAACACUGAGUAAGGUGUGAAUGACAUUUUACCAUCUUCAUUUUGCAUCUAAAGAAUCAACUAAGAAACAGACAUAUCUCUUGCAUAAAUCAUGUUCGUAUAUGUAACCAGAAAUGGGAAAAUAAUAUUUGUGAAAAACAUGUUAAUAGUGAAAAAUGCAGUUAUUUGAGAUCUAUCAUGGCAGAAAAAUUCUACCCAUAAAACAUUUUUAGAGCAGGUCCUGAAACAAAUCUACCAAGGAGACCUAAAUGAUUUUAGAAAGUGUUGUUUAGAUUUAUACAGUUGAGCAUUUAACAAAUACUGGAAUUCAUCCUCUGCCUUUUCCCAUCACCCAAGAGCUCUUUUAAAUUGAUGAUUGAAUUAAAAUGGAGUAGUGACAUUUAAAAUUAUGUAAUGUUUUUAUUAACCUGAAAUGAUAGCUGAUAAAAUGGGCCUUGAUAUUCUGCAAGACCUAAUUGUGUUCACACUAAAGAUUUAGCUAGGCUGGCUGGAGCAAACUGCAGAGAAUUGGAAGUAAAAAUAAUAUCAUUUUCUUAAGCUAGUCUCUUUUUUUUUUUUUUUUUUUUUUUUUUAGAGAUGUCACUUUUAACUGUUAUUUAAUUAGCGAACAGUGCAUUCCGUGGGGGGGGGGGGAACCCUAACUAGAAGAGAGAAAAAAAAUAAUAACUACCCCUCCUACAUCUGUCUGAACAGACACUGAAAUUCCUGCAUGGCGAGGAUGUGUCAAGUUAUGUUAAAGACGUAAUGUACCAUGUGUGUAUCCGCCAGCCACCCUGCCCUGAUAGUGCGCAUUAUGGCUUUGCUCUUACCGGGGGAAGUCAUUCUAAUCUAAUAAAAGAAGGAAAAUGGCAGAAAAUCGCACACCUGAAGUCCUGUUAAGAAUAGGUGAUUCUUUUUGCCCCAGGCAGGCAAGAACAUAAUGUCAUUUUUGUUCAUUUGUAUUUUGCUCUGAAGGAGGGUCUGCUCCUGUGGGGGAAUGAUUUUCCCUCUACCCGUGUGAAACUC
rnacentral:lncRNA from 1 species